rnacentral:lncRNA from 1 species
CGCAGUUUCCUACGGAUCCGAAAGUGGGGCGCGCUGAGGGAGGGUCACGGUGCUCUGCUUUCUAGUGCAAAUCUGUGCUGUUCCGUCCUCUUUAUUCCAGCCUCAGGGUGUGAGGGUCACUACAGACCUAAAAUCCCAGCACCCAGCUCUCCGCCAUGUAAAUCCAGACAUCGCUGCUCCAGAUCGGCCUUUAUGCUCUGAAGGCGUCCUCUUCACAGUCAACCCAUCCCUGACAUCGUGUAGGGGUAGGUAACCUGGACCAGCCAUAUGACACUCAGUGUUGUUUGGUUCCCAAAUCCCACCCAGCUGGAAAUGGUCUUUUCUGUUCCUUGCGAAGGGGAUCAGGAAAAGUAGAGAUAAAGGGCCACUGAGAGAGAGAGAGAGAGAGAAGGAGAAAAUGAGGGAGAACCAGUGGGAAUGUUGAGGAUGGUUCAGGAUCUUGCAGAGAGACAGUAAAAUGAAAGAGUGUUUACCCAUGAAUGUAGCCAAUGAAUAGAGAAGUGAAUAAAAAACCCGGAUCUGCACGGAUUGGAGAACAACAUAAGGAGAGGGGCGCUGGAUCAGCAUAGGAGUGGGGGUAACACCCGUGAGGCAUUUUACACAGAGAGUAGGUGUUACCGAGUGACACUUUGUGUGUCCAAGACACACUGAAGCCAAACAAACAGAAAUGGAGUUUGGAGCUGAGAAAGGUUUAUUGGGAGGCUGAGUAAGGAGUAAUAAAGAGAAAAUUUUAGAGAUUUUUUUUUUUUUUACUGUUUUUUAGUAUUUAAACUUUUUAGUCUUUGUUUUUUUGUUAUUUUUCUCUUAGUAUUUU